rnacentral:lncRNA from 1 species
GUUUAAGAAUAUUAUAAAAAUUAAACAGGAAGAGCUUUUCAACUAUAAAUUACUGAAGGAUUUGGAAGGUGUAGGUGUGAUAAUGUCCUAUUUAGCUUACAAAAAAAGCAUUCAUUGAAGCUGAUGACAAACAGGGACACAGUAAAGGCUUUCCAUUUAUUGAUUGAUGGGGCCUUUAGAAUGUCUAUAAAGUGUGGUCUGAUAAUUUAAUUUUUAAUGGAAAGGAGAUAGAUCUCAACAUUCUAAAUAUUUGUUCCCCAUCAUAUUUUCUGUAUCUUCAAUCUACAAUUUUCAAAAUUUUGGACAAUACCUGCAUUUAACCCUUUUGUUCUAUCUUUGACCAGAGGAGACAAUCUUUGAAAAAAUAUUGAUGACAGAAAAUGGACACUAAUUGAUGGCAAAAGUUCAUACUGGUAUUUUGCAACGUGAGCAAAAGCCCAACAUAUUCUUCGACAAUCUUGGCAAGAAUGCUUGUUCAUCAACUGACAAUUAAUUGUAAUACUAAACAUUAAGUAAAAAGUAAGUGAGUUUAAAUUUAAAUCUGUAUUCAUAAAAUGUAUUUGCUGACUGAAAAAACAUAAG